GCGGCGGGACACAAGGGCGAAUGGUGGAUGCCUAGACAUCAAAAGGCGAUGAAGGACGUUGCGUAGCAGCGAUAUGUCUCGGGGAGGUGCGUAGCAACCUGCGAUCCGGGAAUUUCCGAAUCGGGAAACCGAAUUGAGUAAACCUCAAUUAUCCUUUGAAAACAGAGGAUGCAAACCCACUGAAGUAAAACAUUCUAGUAAGUGGAGGAAGAAAGAACAAACGUUAUUCCCUUAGUAUCGGCGAGAGAAACGGGAAGAGCCCAAACCUAUAUGCACCUCACUGUCGUGAGGUGCUCGUGGAGCUUGGAGCGUGGAGCGUGAAUCGUCGGCAACCGCAGACGUUUCACGUUAUACGUUUCACGAUUCAGGGAGCACGUCGCGAGAGCGAAGUGCGUAUGGGGGUUAUAAGAUAGAGACACUUUAGGUAUAACGUCUGGCGCCAAGAUCUGGUGCACGGCGUUAUAUCUGAAAAAGAGUUACAAAUUGAUUUGUUAGCCGAGGUCCACUGGAAAGGGACGCCAAAGAGGGUGAUAGCCCCGUAGGCGAAAACGAAUCAACUCUCGUUUUUAUUCUUAAGUAGUUCGAGGUCAAACAGUCUCGAAUGAAUUUGCCUGUACUAUCAGGUAAGGCUAAAUACUUUUGAUGAUCGAUAGUGAACAAGUACCGUGAGGGAAAGGUGAAAAGCAGGCCGGUGAGGCCGUUGAAAUAGAACCUGAAACCAUUUGCCUACAAGGAAUUGAAGCUCGUAUCUUGUCUCCGACAAGAUCGCGGACUGCUCGGACUAAAGCGGACUACGCAGACUCUUAAAGUCAGCGAGGUCUGCCAAGGUCGGCGUAAGUCAGCGCUCUCGCCGGAGGCGAGAUGAGUAACAAUGUGCCUAUUGAAGAAUGAGCCAACGACUUAUUUUGCAUUGCUUGUGUAAGCACUUGAUUGUGCGUACGCGUAGCGAAAGCGAGUCUUAAUAGGGCGAAAACCCACUCAAUUUUUUGCUUGCCCGCCGUAGCUUUUAAGCGAAGGUGGGGAUUUAACAAUCUGUCGUCGAGAACUUCUGCUUUUGUAGAAACUACGGCGAACGAGCAAUAAUUUGAGUGGGAACGCAGUGCAAGAUAGACCCGAAGCCAGAUGAGCUUGCCUUGAGCAGGGUGAAGUUUCGCGAAAGCGGAAUGGAGGCCCGAACCGGUUGAUUGUGCAAAAUCUUCGGAUGACUUGAGGUAAGGAGUGAAAAGCUAAUCGAAUCUGGUAAUAGCUGGUUCUCUCCGAAACAGUUUUUCGACUGGCGGUAUACGUAACACGUGGGGGUAGAGCACUGGAUGAUUGGUACAGGUCGAAAGACCGAUCAAUCAAUCAAACUCCGAAUACCGCGUGUGCAAGUAUACUAGUUAGACCGUGGGGGCUAAGCUCCAUGGUCGCGAGGGCAACAGCCCAGAUCAUCAUCUAAGGUCCCUAAAUCCAUGCUAAGUGUAAAAGGUAGUGUCGCACCUAUGACAGAUAGGAGGUUGGCUUAGAGGUAGCCAUCCUUUAAAGAGUGUGUAACAACUCACUAUUCGAUGGUGAGAUGCGCCGAAAAUCCGUGGGGGCUAAGCUCCAUGGUCGCGAGGGCAACAGCCCAGAUCAUCAUCUAAGGUCCCUAAAUCCAUGCUAAGUGUAAAAGGUAGUGUCGCACCUAUGACAGAUAGGAGGUUGGCUUAGAGGUAGCCAUCCUUUAAAGAGUGUGUAACAACUCACUAUUCGAUGGUGAGAUGCGCCGAAAAUGUAUCGGGGCUAAGCAUGGUACCGAAGAUAUGGAUGCUUUGUGCGCAGCACAAGGAAAUUCGAAGCACUAAUUUCGAAAUUCUAAACAAAUUCAAAAUUCUAAAUUCAAAUGUUUUAAACUUUUGGAUUUAAUUAUUUGAACAUUGUUUCGGAUUUAGGAUUUAGAAUUUAGGAUUUUCUCGCGCUGUGCGCGAGGCGUGGUAGGAGAGCAUUCGUAUUGCGUUGAAGCCCGACCCGUGAGGGCGCGUGGAGCGAUACGAAGAGACAAUGUUGGCAUGAGUAACCACAAUCCCAAUGAGAAAUUGGAACCCCGAAAAUCCAAGGUUUCCGUGGCACUGGCAAUCAACCACGGGUGAGGCGGUCCUAAGGCAAUGGUGAAAACCGCAGCCGAUGGCAAGCUGGUUAAUAUUCCAGCCCUCCUUUACGAUUAUCCUGCGCGUGCGAAGAAUAUAAACUUGUGUGCCUUAUUGGUUUGGCAUCGCUUGUCUUAAGUUUAAGCAGAGACCGGCGGAAGGUAGAGAAUUUACUCUAUCGACACGAGCGAAGAGUCUUCCGAGAAAAGCGCGUUUGUUAUGUCGUGGAGGAUCCGUACCGGAAACCGACACAGGUNNNNNNNNNNNNNNNNNNNNNCGACACAGGUGGAUUGGGCGAGUAGCCCUAGGGGAACGAGUGAUUCAUCUUUAAGGAACUAGGCAAAAAAGCGGCCGUACGUUAGCAAUAUGGCCUGCCCUGCGCAUCACACGGAGUGUGAUGCUGAUAUCUCGACAUAUCGAAAUUUCGAAAUCUCAGCAUCGCGCUUCGCGCGAUGCGCGGGGCUGCAGCGAAAGUCUCCCUGUCGACUGUUUACCAAAAACACAGCUCCCUGCGAACUCGCAAGAGGAUGUAUAGGGGGUGACGCCUGACCGAUGCGAGAAGGUCAAGGUUGGGGGUGUGCGCAGCACACAACUCAUAACUAAUGACUCACAACAAAUAACUUUUAUGAAACUUAAGAGUUAUAAGUUAUCAGUUAUAGGUUAUUGGUUGCGCGCUGCGCGCGCUCACUGACUCAAGCCCUCGUCAAUGUCAGCGAUAACUAUAAUCGUUCUAAGGUAGCGCAAUUCCUUUUCGGGUAAGGAAACUUGCCCCUUUCCGUCGCGAGGCGGAUCGAAAAUCGGCUUAUAACGAUGGACUCCAUGUUCUGAUGUUGGUAAACUCAAUACAUGGACAAUAUCGUGGGAAGUCUAUUGAUUAAGAAUCAAAAUGACCCCGUAACGACUGAGUCCCGCAUAGCGGGACGAAAUGGUUCGGCCAGGCCGGAUCAUGACACGCCGAUUUCUUCAGGGAAGAUGGAGAGAAACAUACCGGAAUACAUAACCGGCUAUGUUGAUGGUGAGGGAUGUUUUACUGUUACGUUCAACAUAAAAGCGAAAGCUUUGUUGGGAUGGGAAUUGCGACCGAGUUUCUCGGUGAGCCAAAAUGAAGACCGACGUCAAGUUUUGGAUAUCAUCAAGGAAUACUUCGGUUGCGGAUACAUUCGCCGCGAUUACGCGGACAAAACAGUGAAAUUUGAAGUGCGGGAUCACCAUGAUCUCGUGCGGAAAGUUAUUCCUCACUUCGAGAAAUUUCCACUUCUUUCUUCCAAGCAGAAAGAUUUCGAAUUGUUCAAAACAAUAUGCGAGAUGAUUGAUGGCGAGAAACAUCUUCGAAAAGAUGGUUAUAUCGCGAUCUUGAAUCUUGCGUAUACAAUGAAUGGUUCGGGAAAGCGAAGAAGAACGAAAGAGGAAAUUAUCGCAUCUCUUCAGUGAAGAAAAAGAUAUAGUCUGAUACUCCGAGUAAUCGGAGAAAACACAAAGAAGUUCCGAAGCGCACGAAAGGCGUAACGAAUGGGGAACUGUCUCAAAGAUGAGCUCGGUGAAAAUGCGAU
rfam:Candidatus Liptonbacteria bacterium RIFCSPLOWO2_01_FTLL_52_25 rifcsplowo2_01_scaffold_290, whole genome shotgun sequence.